GGGUGCGAUCAUACCAGCACUAAUGCACCGGAUCCCAUCAGAACUCUGCAGUUAAGCGUGCCUGGGCGAGAGUAGUACUAGGAUGGGUGACCUCCUGGGAAGUCCUCGUGUUGCACCCC
rnacentral:rRNA from 1 species